GACGAACGCUGGCGGCGUGCUUAACACAUGCAAGUCGAACGGUGAACUCCCGCUUGCGGGUGUUGUAAGUGGCGCACGGGUGUGUGAUACGUGAGAACAAUGCGCUUCACACUGGGAUAUGAGCGGGAGAAAGGGCGUCUUACACGAUACUCCUUCCUGCCGCGCGGCGUGGGCUGCAGAGGAUUAUUUUGGUCCGGGAUGGGCUCACGGCCUAUCAGCUUGUUGGUGGGGUAAUGGCUCACCAAGGCGACGACGGGUAGCCGGCCUGAGAGGGUGACCGGCCACCCGGGGACUGAGCACCGGCCCGGCCUCCUCCGGGAGGCGGCAGUGGGGAAUAUUGCACAAUGGGCGAAAGCCUGAUGCAGCAACGCCGCGGGAGGGACGACGGCCUUCGGGUUGUAAACCUCUUUUAGCAGGGAAGAAGCGAAAGUGACGGUACCUGCAGAAAAAGCGCCGGCUAACUACGUG
rnacentral:rRNA from 1 species